ensembl:lncRNA
UGUGAUCUCUGUUCCCCUUUUUAAAUAAAGCAUAUUAGAUAUUCAUACAAUUGAGAGGCGAUAUCAUCCAACAACACACCCACACACACACUUAUAUAAAAACUUGCAGUCGGCAAAUGAGUUUCACACACUGCAAUCGAUCAACUCUACAGGUGUAACACCAGGGCAGCGGGUUUUGAUUCCGACGAGUUGCUCCACGCGAGGUUCGCUUCGCAGAGGUUUGGUUCGUGACCUCCGAGAAGACGUCUCAUACGCAGACACUCACUGCGGACAAAGGGUAUAAAUAUCAGAAGACAUCAUCUAAUACCCUCAGCCGUGCAAAUCCAUCCAUGUGUAUGAUAUGCCUCCAUUCUGGGAUAAGCGCCUCCAGCAGCGCCGCGUCUUCUUCCGCGAGCCUCCCGAAGAGACUUUUGAUUGGCUGCGGGUGACAUCAUCCCGGCUCCUUCGCUGGGACUCGGGAGGCGGCGUCAAGCGACGUCCCCCUCUCUCUUCCCCUCCUCCCCUCACCCC